rnacentral:rRNA from 1 species
AGCGAACGCUGGCGGCAGGCCUAACACAUGCAAGUCGAACGCCCCUUCGGGGGAGUGGCGGACGGGUGAGUAACGCGUGGGAAUGUGCCCUUUGGUACGGAACAACUGAGGGAGACUUCAGCUAAUACCGUAUGUGCCCUACGGGGGAAAGAUUUAUCGCCAUUGGAGCAGCCCGCGUUGGAUUAGGUAGUUGGUGGGGUAAUGGCCCACCAAGCCGACGAUCCAUAGCUGGUCUGAGAGGAUGAUCAGCCACACUGGGACUGAGACACGGCCCAGACUCCUACGGGAGGCAGCAGUGGGGAAUCUUGCGCAAUGGGCGAAAGCCUGACGCAGCCAUGCCGCGUGAAUGAUGAAGGUCUUAGGAUUGUAAAAUUCUUUCACCGGGGAAGAUAAUGACGGUACCCGGAGAAGAAGCCCCGGCUAACUUCGUG